rnacentral:rRNA from 1 species
UGGGGAAUUUUGGACAAUGGGCGAAAGCCUGAUCCAGCAAUGCCGCGUGUGUGAAGAAGGCCUUCGGGUUGUAAAGCACUUUUGUCCGGAAAGAAAUCCUUGGGCUCUAAUACAGUCGGGGGAUGACGGUACCGGAAGAAUAAGCACCGGCUAACUACGUGCCAGCAGCCGCGGUAAUACGUAGGGUGCAAGCGUUAAUCGGAAUUACUGGGCGUAAAGCGUGCGCAGGCGGUUUGCUAAGACCGAUGUGAAAUCCCCGGGCUCAACCUGGGAACUGCAUUGGGUGACUGGGCAGGCUAGAGUAUGGCAGAGGGGGGUAGAAUUCCACGUGUAGCAGUGAAAUGCAUAGAGAUGUGGAGGAAUACCGAUGGCGAAGGCAGCCCCCUGGGCCAAUACUGACGCUCAUGCACGAAAGCGUGGGGAGCAAACAGGAUUAGAUACCCUGGUAGUCCACGCCCUAAACGAUGUC